UACCCAUGCGGGGAAGGAUGAGAAGCUUCGACUAAGGUUCGAUUCGAGCGCAGCGAGAAAGCGUUGCCGCAGGCAACGACCCGAAGGGCGAAGCGCGCAGCGCUGAGUAAUCCUUCCCCCACCACCA
rnacentral:sRNA from 1 species